UGACCGCCCGGUUUCUGCGCGAAAACGGUGCUAAGGCCAUACGGACAGCCGGGUCAAAUGCCGA
rnacentral:sRNA from 1 species